AAGUCGUAACAAGGUCUCCGUAGGUGAACCUGCGGAGGGAUCAUCAAAGAAAUUAUUGUUAUAAAAAACCCCAAGUGUUAGGGAGAGAAAGAGAGAGGGAGAAGGCAUUUUGCUGUCUUUUUUUCCUUCCUUCUUUUCCUAAUACUUUAAACAAACGAUCACAACUAUAAAGAGAGAGGAAAUGUGGAUUGGGGAUACUUGACUUUUUUUAAGAAAAAAAGUGCUUGCCUGAUAAUCUGAUUUUUAUUGGAGAGAAAAGUAUACAACUUUCAACAACGGAUCUCUUGGCUCUCA
rnacentral:misc_RNA from 1 species